AUGGUCGCCGCGGUGGCUGCCGGCAGCGACACCAGGGUGGAGCUCGACGAGUCCGCUCGCGGCCGCGUCAAGGAGAGCAGCGACUGGGUCAUGAACAGCAUGAUGAACGGCACCGACAGCUACGGUGUCACCACAGGCUUCGGCGCCACCUCUCACCGGAGGACCAAGGAGGGCGGCGCUCUCCAGAGGGAGCUCAUUAGAUUCCUUAACGCUGGAGCCUUCGGCAACGGCAGCGACGGCCACGUUCUGCCUGCUGCGGCGACGAGGGCAGCCAUGCUCGUGCGUGUCAACACCCUGCUUCAGGGAUAUUCUGGCAUCCGCUUCGAGAUCCUUGAGACGAUCGCCACGCUCCUCAACGCCAACGUGACACCAUGCCUACCACUUAGAGGCACCAUCACCGCGUCUGGUGACCUGGUCCCGCUUUCCUAUAUUGCGGGACUGGUAACGGGCCGCCCAAACUCCAUGGCCACGGCUCCGGAUGGCACCAAGGUUAACGCGGCGGAGGCAUUUAAGAUUGCCGGCAUCCAGCAUGGCUUCUUCGAGCUGCAGCCCAAGGAAGGCCUUGCUAUGGUGAACGGCACAGCAGUGGGCUCGGGGCUUGCAUCCAUGGUGCUUUUCGAGGCUAACAUCCUUAGCCUUCUUGCCGAGGUCCUUUCGGUUGUCUUCUGUGAGGUCAUGCACGGCAAGCCGGAGUACACCGACCACUUGACCCAUAAGUUGAAGCACCACCCUAGACAGAUUGAGGCUGCCGCCAUCAUGGAGCACAUACUUGAAGGCAGCUCCUACAUGAUGCUUGCUAAGAAGCUCGGCGAGCUCGACCCAUUGAUGAAGCCAAAGCAAGAUAGAUAUGCACUCCGCACCUCACCGCAGUGGCUCGGUCCUCAGAUUGAGGUCAUCCGUGCUGCCACCAAGUCCAUUGAACGAGAGAUCAACUCCGUCAACGACAACCUACUCAUCGACGUCUCUCGCGGCAAGGCUAUCCAUGGUGGAAACUUCCAGGGCACACCAAUCGGUGUGUCUAUGGACAACACCAGGCUUGCCAUUGCUGCAAUUGGCAAGCUCAUGUUUGCCCAAUUCUCGGAGUUGGUGAACGACUUGUACAACAACGGUCUUCCUUCCAACCUCUCUGGUGGGCACAACCCGAGCUUGGACUAUGGCUUCAAGGGUGCCGAGAUUGCCAUGGCCUCGUACUGCUCCGAGCUCCAGUUCUUGGGCAACCCUGUGACCAACCAUGUCCAGAGCGCAGAGCAGCACAACCAAGAUGUCAACUCUCUUGGCCUCAUCUCCUCAAGGAAGACUGCCGAGGCCAUUGACAUACUGAAGCUCAUGUCCUCGACAUUCUUGGUCGCGUUGUGCCAGGCUAUCGACCUCCGCCACCUUGAGGAGAAUGUCAAGAAAGCAGUGAAGAGUUGUGUGAAGACUGUGGCUAGGAAGACACUGAGCACCAACAACAAUGGUCAUCUCCACAAUGCGCGCUUCUGUGAGAAGGACUUGCUGCUCACAAUCGACCGUGAGCGGUGUUCGCUUACGCGGAUGACCCCUGCAGCGUCAACUACCCACUGA
rnacentral:rRNA from 1 species